rnacentral:rRNA from 1 species
AACGUAGGUACCGAGCGUUAUCCGGAUUUACUGGGCGUAAAGCGUGUUCAGGCGGUCUGUCAAGUCGGGCAUGAAAGCCCCCGGCUCAACUGGGGAGGGUCACGCGAUACUGAUCGACUCGAAGGCAGGAGAGGGUAGUGGAAUUCCCGGUGUAGUGGUGAAAUGCGUAGAUAUCGGGAGGAACACCAGUGGCGAAGGCGACUACCUGGCCUGUUUCUUGACGCUGAGGCGCGAAAGCUAGGGGAGCAAACGGG